rnacentral:rRNA from 1 species
UACGGAAGGCAGCAGUGGGGAAUAUUGCACAAUGGGCGAAAGCCUGAUGCAGCUAUGCCGCGUGUAUGAAGAAGGCCUUAGGGUUGUAAAGUACUUUCAUCGGGGAGGAAAAACAAAACUAAUAAUUUUAUUUCUUGACGUUACCCGAAAAAGAAGCACCGGCUAACUCCGUGCCAGCAGCCGCGGUAAUACGGAGGGUGCUAGCGUUAAUCAGAAUUACUGGGCGUAAAGAGCACGUAGGUGGUUUUUUUAAAGUCAGAUGUGAAAUCCCUGGGCUUAACCUAGGAACUGCAUUUUGAAACUGAAAUACUAGAGUAUCGUAGAGGGAGGUAGAAUUCUAGGUGUAGCGGUGAAAUGCGUAGAUAUCUGGAGGAAUACCUGUGGCGAAAGCGGCCUCCUAAACGAAUACUGACACUGAGGUGCGAAAGCGUGGGGAGCAAACAGGGAUUAGAUACC